CUUGUUGGCUUGAAGCUUGUAGUAUUUGAUAGGAGUAGCGUCCACCAAUGUUCCAGAUGCUAGAAGAACUCUCGUGAAGAAUACCCAGGUGCUCCGUUCCUCCGCAGUCUCUGUAAUCGAGUCGGGAGGUCACGAUGCUAGAAGAAUUCUCAUGAGGAGGCUGUAUCGUGAACCCUCCCAACUUUGUCCAAGACCUCGGCAAGGAAGGUUGAGCGCAACUUUCUUGUACUGCACUUUUUUCUUCUUUAGCGUUGUAGCAUCUUAUCCUGGGUUGUCAUCUAUCCUGGAGCUGUUCACACACGCUUUGUGAUAUGUAAUGCUGGGAAUUUGAUUUUAGCUUAAUGAAAG
rnacentral:lncRNA from 1 species